rnacentral:rRNA from 1 species
UACGUAGGGCGCGAGCGUUGUCCGGAUUCAUUGGGCGUAAAGAGCUCGUAGGCGGCCACUCAAGUCGAAUGUGAAACCUCGAGGCUCAACCUCGAGCCUGCAUUCGAUACUGGGCGGCUAGAGUCUGGUAGGGGGAUCUGGAAUUCCUGGUGUAGCGGUGGAAUGCGCAGAUAUCGAGGAGGAACACCAGCGGCGAAGGCGGCGCUCUGGGCCGGUACUGACACUGAGGAGCGAAAGCGUGGGUAGCAAACAGG